UACCGAGUUAUACAACUCAUCAACCCUGUGAACAUACCUAAAACGUUGCUUCGGCGGGAACAGACGGCCCUGUAACAACGGGCCGCCCCCGCCAGAGGACCCCUAACUCUGUUUUUAUAAUGUUUUUCUGAGUAAACAAGCAAAUAAAUUAAAACUUUCAACAACGGAUCUCUUGGCUCUGGCAUCGAUGAAGAACGCAGCGAAAUGCGAUAAGUAAUGUGAAUUGCAGAAUUCAGUGAAUCAUCGAAUCUUUGAACGCACAUUGCGCCCGCCAGUAUUCUGGCGGGCAUGCCUGUUCGAGCGUCAUUACAACCCUCAGGCCCCCGGGCCUGGCGUUGGGGAUCGGCGGAAGCCCCCUGUGGGCACACGCCGUCCCUCAAAUACAGUGGCGGUCCCGCCGCAGCUUCCAUUGCGUAGUAGCUAACACCUCGCAACUGGAGAGCGGCGCGGCCAUGCCGUAAAACACCCAACUUCUGAAUGUUGACCUCGAAUCAGGUAGGAAUACCCGCUGAACUUAAG
rnacentral:rRNA from 1 species